rnacentral:sRNA from 1 species
AAUGUGAAUUGCAGAUUUUCAGUGAAUCAUCGAAUCUUUGAACGCACCUUGCGCUCCUUGGUAUUCCGAGGAGCAUGCCUGUUUGAGUGUCAUUAAAUUCUCAACCAUCCUUUGAUUUAUUUCGAGGGGUCGCUUGGAUAUUGGGAGCUGCCGGCGACUCACUGGGGUCUUGUCGGCUCUCCUUAAAAGUAUUAGCGAAUUGGUGUGACGAGCUUCGUGCAUGAACGGCCUUCGACGUGAUAAUGAUCGUCGUGGCUGGAGUGCUUUGAAAGAGCUUUGAUCAUCUUUUGCUUCCAAUCUUGAUCGUAGAGGG